UGUUUCCACACACAGGUCAGAGAUAACAGAGGAAGAGAAGAUGAGCUCUGCAUGUAAAAUGAGUGGGUUUGAGGAGUCUCCUGUUGACCCUCAGAGAGCAGCAUCUCCAGUGUUCAGCUGUGUGUCCAUGAAGAGCAACAACUCCAUGUAUCAGCCUCCUGCAUUCAGUGAUGGAUCUACUGUGAGAUCUGAGUCUGGUGAUCUAUGGAUGAAGCAAACAGGACCUCAGCCCUGGCCUCAUGAAAGUGAACUGUGGAGGAAUGAGACGAGACCUCAGCCCUGGCCACAUGAAAAUGAACUACAGAGGAACAAGAUGAUACCUCAGCCCUGGCCUCAUGAAAGUGAACAACAGAGGAACAAGAUGAUACCUCAGCCCUGGGCUCACGAAAAUGAACUACAGAGGAACAAGAUGAUACCUCAGCCCUGGGCUCACGAAAAUGAACUACAGAGGAACAAGAUGAUACCUCAGCCCUGGCCUCAUGAAAGUGAACUAUGGAGGAACGAGGCAAGACCUCAGCCCUGGGCUUAUGAAAGUGAACCAUGGAUGAAUAAGACAAGACCUCAGCUCUGGCCUCAUGAUCAUGAAGCUUCACUGCAGACCUUCAGGCCUGUUUCUCCAGCUCGGUUUAAUGAUCCAGUGGCUCAGUCGUGGUCU
rnacentral:lncRNA from 1 species